UUGCUCAGGAUGAACGCUGGCGGCGUGCUUAACACAUGCAAGUCGAACGAGGGACAGAAGACGAGAUCUUCGGAUUAAAUUGACUGUUUCGAGUGGCGGACGGGUGAGUAACGCGUGGGGAACCUGCCUUAUACUGAGGGACAACAGCUGGAAACGGCUGCUAAUACCUCAUAUGCGCACAGGAAGGCAUCUUCCGGUGUGGAAAGAAAUUCGGUAUAAGAUGGCCCCGCGUCUGAUUAGGCAGUUGGUGAGAUAACAGCCCACCAAACCGACGAUCAGUAGCCGACCUGAGAGGGCGAACGGCCACAUUGGGACUGAGACACGGCCCAGACUCCUACGGGAGGCAGCAGUGGGGAAUA
rnacentral:rRNA from 1 species